rnacentral:rRNA from 1 species
CUACGGGGGGCACCAGUGAGGAAUAUUGCACAAUGGGGGGAACCCUGAUGCAGCAACGCCGCGUGGAGGAUGACGCAUUUCGGUGUGUAAACUCCUUUUAUAUGUCAAGAAAAUGACGGUAGCAUAUGAAUAAGCACCGGCUAACUCCGUGCCAGCAGCCGCGGUAAUACGGAGGGUGCAAGCGUUACUCGGAAUCACUGGGCGUAAAGGACGCGUAGGCGGGUUGGAAAGUCAGGUGUGAAAUCCUACAGCUUAACUGUAGAACUGCGCUUGAAACUUCGAAUCUAGAGUAUGGGAGGGGGAGAUGGAAUUAGUGGUGUAGGGGUAAAAUCCGUAGAUAUCACUAGGAAUACCUAAAGCGAAGGCGAUCUCCUGGAACAUUACUGACGCUAAGGCGUGAAAGCGUGGGGAGCAAACAGGAUUAGAUACCCUUGUAGUC